rnacentral:rRNA from 1 species
UACGUAGGGGGCAAGCGUUGUCCGGAAUUACUGGGCGUAAAGCGCGUGUAGGCGGGACGGUUAGUCGGACGUGAAAGGCUGGGGCUCAACCCCAGAUCGCCGUUCGAAACUGCCGUUCUUGAGGGUCGAAGAGGAGAGUGGAAUUCCUGGUGUAGCGGUGAAAUGCGUAGAGAUCAGGAGGAACACCCCAUGCGAAGGCAGCUCUCUGGUCGACAUCUGACGCUGAGACGCGAAAGCGUGGGGAGCGAACGGG